rnacentral:rRNA from 1 species
GACGAACGCUGGCGGCGUGCUUAACACAUGCAAGUCGAACGGAAAGGCCCUGCUUUUGUGGGGUUCUCGAGUGGCGAACGCGUGAGUAACACGUGAGUAACCUGCACUUGACAUUGGGAUAACUUCACGGAACUGGGGCUAAUACCGGAUAGGAGCUCCUGCUGCAUGGGGGGGGUUGGAAAGUUUCGGCGGUUGGGGAUGGACUCGCGGCUUAUCAGCUUGUUGGUGGGGUAGUGGCUUACCAAGGCUUUGACGGGUAGCCGGCCUGAGAGGGUGAGCGGCCACACUGGGACUGAGAUGCGGCAGAGACUCCUACGGGAGGGAGCAGUGGGGAAUAUUGCACAAUGGGCGGAAGCCGGAUGCAGCAACGCCGCGUGCGGGAUAACGGUCUUCGGGGUGUAAACCGCAUGCGCCUGUGACGAAGCGCGAGUGACGGUAAUGUGUAAAGAAGCACCGGCUAACUACGUG